UACGAAGGGGGCGAGCGUUGUUCGGAUUUACUGGGCGUAAAGGGCGCGCAGGCGGCUCAUUUUGUCAGGCGUGAAAGCCCCGGGCUUAACCUGGGAACUGCGUUUGAUACGGAUGGGCUAGAGUUCGGGAGAGGAGAGUGGAAUUCCCAGUGUAGAGGUGAAAUUCGUAGAUAUUGGGAGGAACACCGGUGGCGAAGGCGGCGCUCUGGACCGAGACUGACGCUGAGGCGCGAAGGCGUGGGGAGCAAACAGG
rnacentral:rRNA from 1 species